AAAAGGUAGCUCCAUGUCACCACAGUGGUGACCCUUCUCUCUGACUCAUUUCCCAUUAUGAGCACAAUUAGCGUGCAGCAUGUGUCCUGGGAGAUUAAUGAUCCGCUGGAGGGAAGAAAGAGGAACUUGGGGAAUGGAUCUGGGUGUAGUCAGAGCUCGCCUCUCCCUGGGAGCUGCCUUGGUGCUGUAAAGGAUCUCAUGUCUUUUGCCAGCUUUGAUGAAACUUGCUAGUUGGAAAGCAGAGUGAAAUCUCAGGCUCUACAACUCUUGACAUAAGUAUUUUAUUCAUUUUUGGUGUCUAUGUUCUUGAAGUACUUAAGAGAUUUGGGGCUAUGCAAGUAAUAGACCAACUUUGUGAUUCAUAUUAAAAUUAAGUGAUUUAAACGCAGGAUUUUUAAUUUGAAAUUAUUUAAGUUUAUAAACAGUAUGGGAACAUUUAGAAAGACCUGGAUUCAUUCUGUUUAUAAUUGUAAUCCAUUAAAUUUAUGAAAAUUACCUAAGAAAUCUGAAAAGGUUUGGUUUAGCCAUCAGGCAAUUGAAGUACCUAAACAAGGAAAUAAAAUAUAUUAAAUUUAUAAAUCUUACUUUAAAUGUUUGAAUGAGUUAAAUAACUCCGUUUGUAUUGGGACCAAACUCUUUAACUCUUUAAGACUGCCUUAAAUCAUUUUGUUAAAAAUCUUAGAUUGAUUUCCACUUCUAUGUAGAGAGUUAGAAAGUAUAUCACCUCUACCCUAACAACAAGAAUAUGACAAAUGAAAUACAAAAUGAUAAUGUUCCUUGAACUCAUCAGAGGACUGACAUCACAGGGCAACUAAGCAACUAGAAUUCCAAAGAAGGACAAGCCCCUCCAAAGACAGGAAGCAUGAGGGCAGGCUCAUCAGUGUCAGAGCAGGGGAGACCAGCACAGACACCUUACAAGCAGAAUGACCUUCUGUGGCUACAGAGAAAGGCUUCAGGCAAAGAGAUGCAGCUCUGGGCCCCAGAGUCCGCUGGAGCACACUGAAGCUGGAGCACACUGAAGUGGAAGAUGGGGCUGCAGACAGAGACUGGGCAGCCUCUGCUCCAGGGAGGCCCGAGAGCCAGAGAGCAGAUUCCAUAAGAAGAAUAACUCCCAUUCCUCAUGCAUGAGACCCUCUGCUAAAUGCUUCCUGUGCACCACCUCCAGAAAUCCUCCCAAGCCAGGACACCAGCAGUAUUACAGCUCACUCCUGCCUUCUCUGGAAGUUCCAAAAUCUACGCCAAAGGUACACAAAGACCAAAGAGGAGGCUGAGCACAUCGCUAAGCCUGAAGCUGGGGAAAAAGCUUCCUCCCACCCUUUGCUCGUCAGCAGCCCAAGGACAAGGACUUUCACCUGUGAGGACAACCUGGCUUCCCCCUAGAAGACAGGCUGAUCCCCUUGUCCGGGAAGUUUUAAGACAGAGUUGAUGCCAUGCCUCUGUGAGAUGUUCUGAGGCUCUGGAGAGAAACAAAUGUGCCACCUGUCUACCUGAGAAUGAAGACAGGCUCGCCACGCCUGGGGUCUCUGCACCUCUUGACUGCACGGGUGGCAGGAGGAGACUGCAGAAACCAGGGGUGACCCGAUGGGAUGGAGGCUGCCUCAGCUCCGAGGUGGGGCAGUCUGUGGGCCUUUCUUAUUCCUAGUCCCAGGUGGGGAGAGCAUGAAUGCGGAGAGACCAUCUGCCAAUUACACUUCAUCUGAGCCCACGGCAGACCCGCUGUGGCUUCACCGGCUGGGGAGUAAGAAUCAGAUCAGGCAAUCUUCAGUCCCACCCCUUCCCAGCCCUGGCAUUGCAGAAGACAUCUCCUUUGCUGGCUUAAACAGGCAGUGGUUCUUAGGAUCUAGAGAGAUGGGAAAAUAACAUGUUGGCAGUGACAGUUCUAAGGAGCUGGAGCUGCACAGUGUGGGAGGCCCUGGGGAAGAAGAGGACCUUGGAGAGCCCCCAUCGGCCCAUCACUCUCCACCCGACCUCUGCCUGCUCAGGCCUCCCGUGUGGGGCCACCCCAGGGCCCUGGGUGGAGCCCCCGGUGCUGUACACCUAUUCAUCUGUUCAUAAUACAGCCAGUAGUCAGUGCACAGCUGCCACACAGAGCAUUAGAGGAAAGUAAGCUUUUCUUCUCCCCAUAGCCACAGGCAGCUGCUCAUGGUCCCAGACAGGAAAAAGAGCAAGACACAAAAUUGUAUGUUCACAUCAUUCAAAUGUUGCAAAAAAAUAAAAGGUAUACGCGCCUGUCUGUUUAGGAGAAAGGUCACUAAUCAGGGGUCUCUCUGGGUGGAGAAACAGCAGGUAGUUUUGAUUCUCUUCCUUGUGCUUUGCAUACUUAAAUUUUUUCCAUGUUGAUUCUGAGUUAUGUGAAUAUUUAGAAAAUGUGAGCCUUCCUCUGACUACCAAGGUAGCUCUUCUGAACCUUCUCCAAGAGGCAAAUAUCUCAACAGCAAGGAACUUUUCCCCUCCUCCCACUCUUUGAGUCAUGGAAAAAUACCUUCCAGAAAUAACAGAAGGCUGGUUGUCAUUUAAUCCUAACAACAUCAUUGCUCUGCCUCCCCACGGUCCAAGCCGAAGCCCAAAGGCAGCGUUGUCCAGCACAGCACCUCAUCUGCAAAACCAGAGACAACAUUAUGUGGCCAAAAUAUCAAAAGCUUUGACAGUCUUCUUCCUUUACUAUGUGAGCCCUGGUGUCAUUGGGGCACACAGCCACCUGACUGCAGGUUCUCUGGUCACCCUUGCAGCCAGAUGUGAGAUGAUGACCAAGCUCAGACAAUCCAAUGGGAGCAACAGCAAUCUCAUUAAAGCUCAUAUUAUUCACAAUAAGGCCAUUUGCUUGGAGUUUUUCCCACAAGGACACCGGUAUUCUAAGGACCCAGCUUCACCUGUGCAGAUGAGGACAAUACCUUAAGAUGUCACAAAGCCAUACAACAGAAGAAAGUCAGAUGUCUGAAAUGACGUGACAUUGUGGAGCAGAGCCACUCCACUUUCAUGGGCCUCUGAUCUCCAGUCUAUUACAUGAAAGAGAAAUAAGCUUCCAUCUUAUCUAACUCACUGGUCUUUGGAUGUCUGUGUCACAGCAGCUUAGCCUGUGCUUAAGUAAUGCAGCAAGCUCAUCUUGGUUUUACAUUCCCUCUCUGUAAUUUACUAAUGGUAUGAUCUGGGGCAGAUCACUUAACCAUUCUGGGCUUAAUUUCCUCCUUUGGUAAAAUGGAAG
rnacentral:lncRNA from 1 species